UUACGUUCCAGUUGAACGCCUUAUCAAAUCUUAUCAUCACGAGUACUUAUCAAUGUGCACUUAGUUUGGAAAUUUCAGUCGUAGAUGUUGUGUUAAAAAGUUUAAUUAUAAAGAUUGUGUGAACUAAAUGUAAAUGAACUUAUAUAACAUUAGUGUUAGAGUGAGAUGAUAGUGUGGUGGUAAUGGAGGAAAACAAAUAUAAUAGUUUACCACGCCUCAGACGCAAGCACACAUGGAGAAGGUCAGGGCUGGACACAUGGUUCGGAAGGCCGAAGAAAGCUGGCGGGGGCAUGGAGCGGGGGUACGAUACGGUUCCCCGGGCUGAGUUACGUGGUGAUGAGGAGCCUCCUUUGGAGUAUAAGAGCAAGAUUGAUGCCCUUGAUGAUGAACAGUUGGAGAGCCGAUUUGAGGAGAUGCUGACGGACAUGAACAUAGGGGAAAAGAAGAAGGAGCCGUUAAGAAAAUAUUCAAGUGACCAGAAGAAAAAAAUGUUGGUCGCGUAUAAAUUUGUUAAUACACAGGAAGGUCGUUCGAAAUUUGAAAAACCAUCAGACUACGUGACCUACCUCAAUCAGCCAGAGUUAUCAGUUGGGAAGUUGCACAGUUGUUUAGAGAAUCUACGUAUUUCACUAACGAAUAACCCGUUGUCGUGGAUCGAAGAGUUUGGGACUAAGGGCAUUGAGAGUUUGCUGACCACACUCAAUGUUUGUUAUACGAAUGAUUCCCGCUACGAUCGCGUACAAUACGAGUGUAUCCGAUGUUUGUCAGCUAUUUUAAACAAUACGGUCGGUAUUCGAGCUGUGUUUGAAUGUCGGGAGGCCUUGCCGGUACUGGCUAGAAGUCUGGACGCAAGGAAGCCCCAUUGUGCUUUGGAAGCUGCUAAGGUGCUAGCUGCAAUAUGUCUGAUACCGAAUGGCCACGAGAAAGUCCUAGAAGCGAUAACAAUGGCCGGCGAGUCGAGUCGAAAACCAAGAUUGCUACCCAUUGUGGAGGGACUUCAUCCCAAGGCGCCUGAGAGUUUAAAGAACGGUUGCAUGCAACUGAUGAAUGCAAUAAUAACGGAGCCGGAAGAAUUGGAGUUCCGAAUGCAUUUGAGGAGCGAAUUUAUGAGAACUGGACUUUAUGAUCUGAUUGAGGAUUUAAGAGCGGGUGCGGAAGAUGGCGGUCGUCUGAUUCAAAUGAACGUCUUUGAUACUUACGCUACUGCCGACCAAGAGGAGUUUCUCGCUAAGUUUGAUGAUGUCAGAGUGGACUUCCAAGACGUGAAUGAGUGCUUCGAGCUGGUGAAGAAUCUGGUACUAGAAACUCCAGCAGAACCGUUCUUGCUCUCCAUAUUACAACACCUGCUAUUCAUCAGAGAUGAUGAGCUUAUAAGACCUGCAUACUACAAGCUAAUAGAGGAAUGUGUAACUCAAAUAGUAUUACACAAAAAUGGCUACGACCCCGACUUCAGACUGACACAACGAUUCAAUAUUGAUGUACAGCCUUUGAUUGAUGGACUUAUUGAAAAGUCUAGAGCAGAGGAAGAAAAGAAGCUCGAAGAGUUAAAAAGCAAACUGGAAGUGGCCAUCUCGGCCCGACAGGAAGCAGAGGCCAGGGUGACACAUCUAGAAGAGAGGAUGAAAAGUAUAUCUACGCCGAGUGGGCCUGGUGGAGUGUCUCAGGGAAAUAUCGCUGCUAUUGCUAAGGCAAUCGGUAGCCCCGGAGGUCCACCACCGCCGCCGCCGCCGCCUAUGCCUGGAGGAGGGCCACCACCACCGCCGCCGCCACCAUUGCCCUCAGGUGGUCCCGCGCCACCACCUCCGCCUCCUAUGCCUUCAGGAGGGUCAGCGCCACCGCCGCCCCCGUUCCCAGGAAUGGGGGGUCCACCAUCGCCCCCUAUGCCAGGAAUGGGUCCGCCCCCACCGCCCCCUCCCCCAGGAAUGGGACCAAGACCACCGCCCCCGCCGGGAGGCUUCAUGGCGCCUAAGAUGCCACAACCAGAUAUACUGCCUCAUGGUUUGAAGCCUAAAAAGAAGUGGGAGAUCGAAGGACCCCUGAAACGUGCCAACUGGAAAACUAUUGUGCCACAGAAAAUGUCUGAAAAGGCUUUUUGGAUUAAGGUGCAAGAAGAUAAAUUGGCGUCACCAGAUAUUUUGAGUGGCCUCGCCUUGAAAUUCUCAAGUAAACCAGUUGCUAAGAGAAACGAGGAUGCUGUCGAUAAGGUGCACACACUAAAAAAAGUGAAAGAUUUGAAAGUGCUGGAUUCGAAGGCUGCUCAAAAUCUGUCGAUCCUUUUGGGUGGUUCACUCAAACAUAUGUCGUACGAACACAUACGUACGUGUAUCUUAAAGUGCGAUACCACAGUGCUCACUGCAAAUGUUUUGGAUCUCUUGAUACAGUACUUACCUCCAGCAGACCAGUUAAAAAAACUGGCUGAACUUAAAUGUAAGAGUCAAGAACUGACUGAAGCUGAACAGUUUGCGGCGACAGUUGCAGAUAUUAAACGAUUGGUUCCGCGACUAAGGAGUUUAGCAUUUAAAGAACACUAUAGGGAGAUAAUAUCAGAAGUUAAGCCGGAUAUAGUGUCAGGUACGGCAGCCUGUGAGGAAGUAAAGUCCAGUGGCAAGUUUGCCAAAAUCCUUGAACUUCUACUCCUAUUGGGUAACUAUAUGAACACGGGGUCAAAUAACGCCGGCGCUUACGGAUUCGAGAUCAGUUUCCUUACAAAGUUAACAGCCACAAAAGACUUGGAGAACAAGCAGACAUUGUUACACUAUUUAGUGGAUACGAUAGAACAGAAAUUCCCCGACGUACUUAAUUUUGCUGAGGAGAUGCCUCAUAUUGACAGGGCAGCGAGAGUGUCAAUGGAGAGUCUACAAAAAUCCUUAAAGAAGAUGGAAAAUGACAUUCGCGCUUUAGAGACGGACCUGAAUAACGCGCGGGUGCAACAGAGCCCCGAUGACUUGUUCAACGAGUGUAUGAGCAGUUUUGCCGUUGAAGCACGUGAGCAAUGCGAUCUCCUCCACUCGAUGUUUAGGAAAAUGGAGGCAUUGUACAAGGGAAUUGCGGAGUACUACGUGUUCGAUCCUCAGAAAUAUACGUUAGAGGAAUUCUUUUCGGAUAUCAAGACGUUCAAAGAUUCAUUUGCGGCGGCAUAUCAAGACAACGUAGUAAUAAGAGAGACGGAAGAGAGAGCUAGAAGAGCAAGAGAAGCUCGUGCUACCGCUGAAAGAGAAAGAAGAGACCGCCAACAUCGGUACAAGCAGUUUGUGGACAUGGAACAUGCCCAGGAAGGUGUUAUGGAUAGUUUGAUGGAGGCGUUACAGAGUGGUUCUGCGUUCAGCAGAGAACGGCCUAGAAAGAAAGCUAAUCCCAGGGUUGCAGGAGAUGUGUCGAUUCGAUAUGGAGGCAAGCGCGUGCGACGUUCUACUUCACCAAAACUCGAGACUUACAGACAACUGAGCGAAGAGCGCAGUUGAACCGUUCCAGAUCGAGGUCCGGUCUAACUGGACCGCUUACGACUAGAGAAUUAACAAAUGAGUUGCUGAGCAACGCGUGAUGUCAUCAAUCAGUGAUAUUAGUGUAUUAUUAACUAGUUGUUAAGUCAAUGAAUGUCAUGGCCUAUUUGUACUUUUUAAUCUGUGUACGCGGUUCUAUCUGUCAAUGUCUUAGAUAAAUAUCUUGAAAGUGUGAUAAUAAAUAUUCUAAAAGAUAAUAAUAACAAAGCUAUUGGAAAAAAGAUAGCGAAUUGUCAAUCGUAAUAAAACUGAUUAAUAAAGAUAUAAACGAAAGUUGUUCAAGCUAACUGUAGUACACAAAUGCUGCCGUCAGUAGUUACUCUGAAACUUUGUUUAUUGUAAUAAACAAGAAUAAAUACAAACAAGUGGCGGAACUCGCGGUUUCGACAUUAAGGAUGCGUUUAUUAAAUCGUUAUCACUAUAGAAGUUACAGGCACAAACGCAAUUUAAUAUUUCCCAUAAUAAUAAAUCCUGUUUUUAAUUUUAUAAUUGUCUAACACCUUUUUGCCGUUACUAAAGCAAUUUUUUUCUUGGUUUACUGCUGAAAGCGAAUAGCAAAAAAGAAUAGAAUAGCUCUUCCAAAAUUUUUCUUUAGGUUUUCUGUUUCUGUCACGUUUAGUGCGAUUUUUAAUGUCAAAAGGUGAAAAGUAAGAACGAACAUAUCAAAGACAGGUAGAAGCGCGUACUCACCGGCCAGAGGGCUCUUCCAACAGGUGUAUUAUAUUAUUUGUCUUGUAAGGCAAAGGAGUAUCAGUAAACAUUAGAUUUUACUACGAAAAUGCAAGAGUAUAAAAUAAUAAUGUUUUUUUUUAUUGAACAAAACGCUAGUAAAAAAUAAUUACGAGGAAAAACAUAAAACCCACAAAAUAUUUGUGGGGAUGGUUAAGUUAUUUAUGCCUCUUUAUUUUUUCCUAAUUAUUAAAAUCUGGUAUGGAAUAAAUAAUACAAAAAAAAAUUAUGCAUUUGUCUAAUGGUUACUGAUUCGACUUUCUAUGAACAGUCUGUAUAAUUAAGAGUUUUUUUUGUAAAUCUCGCAGUAAUGUUUAGAUGCUUGUAUAGGGUGUAUUGAAGCUGUCUAUAAAAUUGUUUAGAAUAUGUAAUCUAAAAAGUUCGUGUCAAUUCCUAAAAAAAUUGAAUACCUUAGAAAUCUAUUUGCAUUGUAUAUUUUGGAUUUUUCGUAAGAAUCUCAUUAUUUUGUGUAAUAUUUUAUAGACAGCUCAUUAAUUUCGAUGCAAUUUAAUUUAUUACAGUAUUUAAACUGUCCAAUAUGAAAUAAUGAUUUCGUCCAACGUUCAAAUGUAUCGCACAAUAAAGCGAAUUAUACACUUUAUUUAUUUUGGUUUAAUAACAUUUAUACAAAUAUGUUUUGUGUAUAAACCUGAGUUUUAAAUAGAUUAUAGAAAAGAUGAAUUUAAUGGAUUAUUAAUGAUGUUGUUUUUAAAUCUAACAUUAAUUGCUUUAUGAGAUACACAAACAAAUUAAGAUUUUCUUUCUAAUAAAUAAUAUAGAAAUAAUGGUUACAUUAAAAAUUAUUAUUUUCUUGAUCAGAUCGUUUUUUUUAACAAAAGACAUAACAUGCCGAAUUGUUAACUGGCUGUCACAGGUUUGAUGUUGAUUAAAAUAGGUUUUAAAAGACAUAGGAAGUGUUUGCAUGGUCAAUUAGUAUUAUUAUUUUGGUACUUUAAAUUAAGUUAAAAACAUAAAACCCACUGCAGACAAGGUAAUGAUUAUUUUUUUUAAGUUCGUAUAUUUUUCAGUUUAGUAUUUUAAAACUGUAAGUUUAUAAGAAGCUUAACUCUUAAUCAUUAAUUUUUUCAAGCGCAAUUUACGAAAUUUUAAUACUUGAGUAUUUUCCAUGAAAAAUUGUGAUUUAAUAUGUAUUUUUGCACAAUACCCUUUCGAAAAUCAUAACAUUUUUAUGACUUAGUGAAUAUAGCAGUCGUUAACUAACGGAUUCUAUAAGAUUUCUAGCCUAAUUCAUAAACGUAGUAUAAACAGCAUUAUAGAAUUAAAAAUUCUUUAAUUUUGUAUUAAAUUUUAUUACUUUUAUUCUUGCUAUGUAGUCGUUAACGAAUGAUAAUUUAUUAUAAAACAUUAUCUGUACCGUGUUACCAUGGUUACCAUACUUACAUGAAGUGUUCAACUGUGGUAACACAAGGUACUAUUUUAAGUCCACUUUUUAU